CUUAGAGUGGAAGUGUGUUCAUAUGGUUCCCGGCUUGUUGAGUUCCUCCAGCAUGUUGUGUGUUGCUUGGAUUUCCAGCAUCUGCAGAUUGACUUGUCUUUAAGCUACAACAGGUUUGGUUCAAUGUCCAUUCAGAAACUGGAUGGCAGGGGGGAAGAAGCUGUUCCUAAAUCUUUGAGUGUGUACCUUUUCAGGGUAAUUGGGGUCCUUGAU